CCUCACGUGCCAGUGCCCACUUGGAGCCUUCACCCGGCAGCCCGGAGCGGCGGGAGACCUGCGUCCGGGAUCGCCCUCGGCGUGAGGCGCUCCACAGCUCCGACUCUACACUGAACUUCCUUGAAUAUAAUUGAGGAAUACAGGCAACAUGUUCUACACUCAUGUGCUUAUGAGCAAACGAGGACCACUGGCCAAAAUAUGGCUUGCAGCUCACUGGGAGAAGAAACUCACAAAGGCCCAUGUGUUUGAGUGUAAUCUAGAGAUAACCAUUCAAAAAAUUAUUUCACCUAAGGUGAAAAUUGCACUCCGAACUUCAGGACACCUUCUUUUGGGAGUUGUUCGAAUCUAUAAUAGGAAGGCAAAAUAUCUUUUGGCAGAUUGCAGUGAAGCAUUUCUUAAGAUGAAGAUGACAUUUCGCCCAGGACUGGUUGACCUCCCAAAAGAGAAUUUUGAAGCGGCUUACAAUACUAUCACAUUACCGGAAGAAUUUCAUGAUUUUGACAUCUAUAAUAUGAAUGAUAUUGAUGCUUCAGAGCCCAUUGCUCAGAACCAAAGCAGACCAGAGGAAAUCACACUUAGAGAAGAAUAUAGCAAUGAUCUACUUUUCCAAGAUGGGAGCUUUGGGGAUGAACCUGAACUCCUCAGAAGACAUAGCCUCUUUGAUGACAACAUAUUAAUGAACUCCAGUGGUCUUGUAGUUGAACAUAGUUCUGGAAGCCUCAUUGAGGAAAAAUCAUUGUUCUUUGACAAUGGAGAUGGAUUUGGCGAUGAAGGAGCUGCAGGAGAAAUGAUUGACAAUCUAUUGCAAGAUGAGAAUACCCUUUUAGAAGACAUAUAUUCGAACAAAGAAACGUCUCUGCCUCCUGAGCUUCCCAGUAGUAUAAUGGUAGAACCAGGUAAUUCAGAUGACCAAUACCUACCUGAAGACGAAAAAGUAGAUGAAACAACAUUGUUAUCAAAUGAAGAAGAAGGGUUUACUCUUGACCCAAUUGAUGGUUUAGAUAUUGCUGAGAGAAGGAAAAGCAAAAAGAGGAGGUUGCUUAUAGAUCCAGUCAAGGAGAUAAGUAGCAAGACUAUGCAUAAGCAGCUUACUUCCUUUGUGGACACUCUCAUGGUUCUGGACCUUGCACCUCCCACACAAAGAUUGAUGAUGUGGAAGAAGAGGGGAGGAGUGGAUACACUUCUGUCAACUGCUACCCAGGAUCUGAUUCAUGAUGAACUGAAAAUGUUGUUUGCAAAAUGCUUCCUGUCUUCUGACUUUAAACUUGCAAAAUUGAUACAGAAGGAGUCAGUAAGGAAAGAAGUGGGAACUAAACACAUUCUAGAGCUCUCAGUGAUAGAAGAGCCCAAUUCCCACAGAGAGUUAGAUCAGCCCCAGUCUUGGAAGGAUGUGAUUGUUGAAUCUGUGGGUAGCUUUCAGGAAGACAUCAAUAUGAAUAUUAACUCUGAGGUUUCUUUCCUGCCUCAGAAAGCUGGUGCUGGCCUGAGUAACCGCUAAACAAGAUACUUCAAAGGAAAGCAAUCUCAGCAGCGCAGCAGUAGAGGCUCCAAUGUGGAGCCUGCAUGAAGAGGAGAAAGGGAGAAGUAGUGUGCAGGGUCCUUCAUUUGUGGUGGUUUGAAUAAAAAUGGCCCCCAUAGGUCCAUAAGGAGUGGCACUAUUAGGAGGUGUGGUCUUGUUGGAGGAAGUGUGUCACACUCUCUUCUUGCUGCCUGUGGAUCAAGAUGUAAAACGUUCAGCUCCUUCUCCAGCACCAUGUCUGCCAUUCUACCUGCCAUGAUGAUAAUGGACUAAAUCUCUGAACUGUAAGCCAGCCCCAGUUAAAUAUUUUUCUUUAUAAGAGUUGCUGUUGUCAUGGUUCACAGCAAUAGAAACCCUAAGACAGAAAGAAGUUCGGUGUUGUGAUAGGCCUGACCAUGCUUUUGUUUGGAGGAAUGUGAACUUUGGGACCAGAUUAGAAAAGCAGUUGAAUUCUUAAUUGAGGCUUAAUGGGCCAUCCUAGUAGAAGAAUGGAAGAGAGUGGUGCUGAGGGUGAUUUGAAUUGUGAGGGCCUGACUCAAGAGAUGUCAGAGGAGAAGAAUUUUAGUAUGUGGCCUAGAGACUGUUCUUGUGAUAUUUUGGUGAAGAAUUUGCCUGCUUUCUGCUCUUGUCCAAAAAAAAUCUGCCUGGCGAUAAAUUGAAGAGUUUUGAAUUAAUUGCAUUGGCAGAGGAAAUCUCAAAACAACCUAAUAUGGACUCUGUUAUGUGGUUAUUAGUGUUCACUCUUAUGCAGAUUUAUAAUGAAAAAGAGAAAGCUGAUCAAGGAAAAUACAAAAUGUAUGAUUUAAGGAGAAAAAGAGCACUAGGAAGUGUAAACAGAUUAAAGAAAAGCCUGAUGCUAAGUGGAAUAAAGGGAGUGGUGACCUCAGAGCAAGACCCCACCUAGCUUAGCUUCCAACUUGUGGAAAGGAAUUGAAGAAAGUGAAAAGCAGUUAAAGGAAAGCUUAUGGCCAGGCAUAGUGGUGCACACCUUUAAUCCCAACACUCCAGAGGCAGAGGCAGACGAAUCUCUGCGUUUUCUUACAGAGAAAGUUUCAAGACAGCCACACUUAGAUAAUGAAGGAAACCAUCGAAAACAGAGCGCUAGUGAAGAUGUAAUUGAAUGAGAAGGCCAUAUUCCAAUCCCAGCAAGCAGUAGAAUUUGGCAGCUUUGGCCUCAUGGUUCUGGCUUUAGAGUCAAAGAUACCAGAAAGGGAUUAGGGAAUCUCCCUCCUUGUCUAAGGAAAGUUGCCUAGCCGAGCAUAUCUCCAGAGUGUCCCUACAUGGAGGCCUAGAGAGGCUAUUAUGUGAAGCUACGAAGUUGAAGCUUGGAUUACCUUGGAGACCCUAAAUGUUGGAGAUGACAGAGUUGUAGGAUACCUGCCAAGUAAAGCUGUCAACAGGGAAUGGAACGAGGCCAAGAGGAAAAAGUGUGUUGCAGUCAACAAAAGGUGAAAGGAGUUGGAGAUCUGAAGAACAUUUUGACAUCAGACACGAAGAUGCAGAGUUUGCCCAGCUGGCUUUUGGGGGGUUUUUUUGGUCCAGUCUUUCCUCACUGUGCUCCCUUUUGGAAUUGUAAGGUACAUCCUGUGCCAUUAUAUGUUAGAAGUAUGUGAUCUGCUUUUUCAUUUUGAUUUUAUGGGGAAUUACUGUUAAGAGAUUGCAGGAGUCUCAGAAGAGACUUUGGACUUUAUUUUUAAGCAAGUUUAAGACUCUUAUAGACUAUGAGGACUUUUGAAGUUGGACUAAAUGCAUUUUUCAUUAUGAUAUGGCUUCAAGCCUGUGAGGGCCAGAAAGUGGAAUGUGGUGGUUUGAAUAAAAAUGGCCCCCAUAGGUCCAUAGGAAGUGGCACUGUUAGGAGGCCUUAUUGCAGGAAGUGUGUCACACUCUCUUCCUGCUGCCUGCAGAUCAAGUUGUAGAACUCUCAGCUCCUUCUCCAGCACCAUGUCAGCUUGCAUGCCACCAUGCUUCCUGUCAUGAUGGUAAUGGACUCAACUCUGAACUGUAAGCCAGCCCCAGUUAAAUGUUUUCCUUUAUAAGCUGUGGUCAUGGUGUCUCUUCACAGCAAUAGAAACCCUAAGUAAGACAAUAUGUUAAACUAAUUUGAGAAAUUAUCAUUUAUGUUAAUAAAUUGUUUUUAAAAAUUGAGCUGUUCAUAUUAUAACCACUAGCAGAAUUACCUGUAAUUUCUGAAUUUUCUUUAGCAGGAUAUAUUUGAAACGACUUCUCCACCUGCCGAGGGAUUAUCUUCAACAAAUGCUUCCUCAGCCCAAAAAAAUUGUCCAGUUGAAUUGUCAUUCAAACAGGAGUCAUCAGGCAGCAAACAAA